rnacentral:rRNA from 1 species
GUGGGGAAUAUUGCACAAUGGGGGAAACCCUGAUGCAGCAACGCCGCGUGAGUGAUGAAGGCCUUCGGGUUGUAAAGCUCUGUCUUUGGGGACGAUAAUGACGGUACCCAAGGAGGAAGCCACGGCUAACUACGUGCCAGCAGCCGCGGUAAUACGUAGGUGGCAAGCGUUGUCCGGAUUUACUGGGCGUAAAGGGAGCGUAGGCGGACUUUUAAGUGGGAUGUGAAAUACUCGGGCUCAACCUGAGUGCUGCAUUCCAAACUGGAAGUCUAGAGUGCAGGAGGGGAAAGUGGAAUUCCUAGUGUAGCGGUGAAAUGCGUAGAUAUUAGGAAGAACACCGGUGGCGAAGGCGACUUUCUGGACUGUAACUGACGCUGAGGCUCGAAAGCGUGGGGAGCGAACAGGAUUAGAAACCCUAGUAGUCC